rnacentral:rRNA from 1 species
GAUGAACGCUAGCUACAGGCUUAACACAUGCAAGUCGAGGGGAAACGACAUCGAAAGCUUGCUUUUGAUGGGCGUCGACCGGCGCACGGGGGAGUAACGCGUAUCCAACCUGCCCACCACUUGGGGAUAACCUUGCGAAAGUAAGACUAAUACCCAAUGACGUCUCUAGAAGACAUCUGACCGAGAUUAAAGAUUUAUCGGUGAUGGAUGUGGAUGCGUCUGAUUAGCUUGUUGGCGGGGUAACGGCCCACCAAGGCGACGAUCAGUAGGGGUUCUGAGAGGAAGGUACCCCACAUUGGAACUGAGACACAGUCCAAAAUCCUACGGGAGGCAGCAGAGAGGAAUAUUGGUCAAGGGACGAGAGUCUGAACCAGCCAAGUAGCGUGCAGGAGGACGGCCCUAUGGGUUGUAAACUGCUUUUGUAAGGGAAUAAAGUGUUUAUCGUGAGACUUUUUGCAUGUACCUUAUGAAUAAGGACCGGCUAAUUCCGUG